UUUGAUAAUGGGAGCACAUUGGGAUUUUAAUAUUAUAAAUGGUUUUGGUUGUCCUCCGAGUCUUUUCUUGCCAAAAACAGUGAAAACUCAUGAAAGUGUUGGACUUUUCAGGUCACAAUCUUCAAUCAAAGAGGACCCCUCUUUUUUUCUAGUUUAUUUUGCCUCUUUUCCUGUUCAUGGAUCCCAAGGGCUCAAACUCAAAGAAACCACAUGAACUACCUAAUUUCUUGACCCAUCCUCCUCAAACCCUACAACAGCAACGACAAGAACAACACCAAAAUCAAAACCAACAACAGCCACGGCAGGCAAGCAUGGGAGAGAACAAACCAGCGGAAGUAAAAGAUUUCCAGAUUGUAAUUGCAGACAAAGAAGAGCAAAAGAAGCAGUUAGCACCAAAAAGAGGCUCAAACAAGGACAGACACACCAAGGUUGAAGGUAGAGGAAGGAGGAUAAGGAUGCCAGCUCUUUGUGCAGCAAGAAUCUUUCAAUUGACCAGAGAAUUGGGUCAUAAAUCUGAUGGGGAAACAAUACAGUGGCUAUUACAACAAGCAGAACCAUCCAUAAUUGCAGCAACUGGGACAGGAACAAUACCAGCAUCAGCCUUGGCAGCUGCUGGUGGAUCAGUUUCACAGCAAGGAGCCUCUUUAUCAGCUGGAUUGCACCAAAAGUUUGAUGAAUUAGGUGGGUCCAGUAGUAGUAGGACUAGUUGGGCAAUGAUAGGUGGCAAUUUAGCUCGACCCCAUCAUGUGGCAACAACAGGAUUAUGGCCCCCAGUAGGUGGGUUUGGGUUCCAGUCAUCAUCUACCACUGGUCCAGCAACAACAAAUUUGGGGAGUGAGAGUUCUAGUUAUUUGCAAAAAAUUGAGUUUCCUGGUUUUGACUUGCCAGGAAACAGUAUGGGUCCCAUGAGUUUUACCUCAUUUUUGGGUGGGAGUAACCAGCAGCUACCUGGCUUGGAGCUUGGUUUAUCACAGGAUGGCCAUAUUGGGGUUUUGAACCCGCAGACUUUGAGUCAGAUUUAUCAGCAGAUGGGGCAGGCAAGAGUGCAACAGCAACAGCAGCACCAACAGCAGAAUCCUGCUGAGGAUGAUUCUCAAGGUUCAGGACAGUAAUAGCAGUUCAGGGUAGGCAUUCUUGAUGUUGAGAGAGGCCGAGUGAUUUUUGUAGUGGUUUUUGUGCUGUAAAAUUGGUCCAAAAAAAAAAAGAUACAAAAGAGAAUUCAAUAGGAACUGGUUUGGUUUGCCUCUUACUCUCCCCUUCAUCACCCAUAUCUCCAUAUACAGGUGGAAUUGUGCAUAGCCAAAUAGUUUGGGUUUGGGCUUAACUUCUUAUCUAAUUCAGAGAGUUUGAGUGGAUAUCCAUGUCUCAAGUCUCAAGAUGUUGCCUUGGUAUAUGGCCAGGAGCUGUGGUGUAGAGUUCCCUGAAUUGUUGGAGUCAAGAUUUAUUAGUGUGCGAUUAGUACAUGGUGAUUGUAUCCUGUAUUUGAAGUAUGACAUCUUGGAAUGGAGUAUCAUGUGGAAGCAACAUUUUCUUGAUAACCAUUUGAACUUUGGACUGUCUUCAGCAAAUUAGAUAGUGUUUUCAGUAUCCGUGCUCAAGAAUGAAAUGGUUGGAAAUUGUAGAACACUAGAACUUUUCUUUGAAUAUGUUUGAUUUUCAAAUUCCUCAUCUUUAUGAUCGAGUGUUCCAUUGGCUAUUUCAUGACAUAUACAUCAUAUCAUUUAUCCUUA